AGGGUUCAACAAGAGUCUUCGUACCAAGUAUAUUAACUCAAACAUAGGACUAGACUAAAGAUGCCUGUGGUUUCAUGAGAAAUAACAGCUGUUUUGAAGAGCCAGAAAGACUGGAAACUUUCUUUCCAGACCCCAGCUAGUUGACACUCAACUGGCAAACAUUGAGUUCUGAAUGCCUAAGAGGUUGUUGUCCAGGCUUGGUUCCUGAUUGAGAUCCAGGCAUCAGGAGAGGUUGUUUUGUUAAAACUAUGGCUGGAGCAGCAUGCAAGACUGAAAAAGAAGGGCACAGUGAACAUGGAGAUGGAAGAGGACAAGGAAGAAGGAAAAAGGAGGAAGAAAGAGAGAUAAGAGAGGGCUUCAUUCUGGAGGACCUCUUUCACUGGGCUGUCGCUUGUUGGAACUGCUUCCCACCACAGAUUAUUUAGCUGCCAGGGAUUUCAGAGAGCGAAAGGAACUUCAGAAAGCUCCUGUGAGGUCCAGAAUGAAGAGAGGCAGUGAGAUCAAGAGCCAGGACAUCUUUCACUGAUAUAUGCCUCUGGGGUCUCAGGUAUGAUUCUGUCACCCAAAGGACCCUCAAUAACACACCAGACUAUAUUCCAAUCCCAAUGUGACCAGAUUCUGCCACAUAGCUUCUUUCAGGAAUGGAGUCAGAAGAGCAGUUUCCAGUGAUCACCUCACAGUCAUGAAAUGACUCAUCCUCUAGCAGGACUUUAACAUGGAGAUGGCCUGAAAGGGCUCAAAGUUUGAGACUUUCAGAGUCUCGCUGUGGGUUUUGCAGGUAACCUUUUUCCUGAUACAAGGCCAGCUCUACCUGUACCAGUUUUCUCUAAUUAGGCAGGCAUUUCUAACAGGUGAAUGCCCAGCCUGCCUCACAAAUGCACAUGCCCUGGUCUCAGUGCACCUGGUCUGAUUUUGAGCUCUGGCUAGUGUCACAAUAAAUGUCAAUGUUGCCUAACGACAAGUACUACAGCUUGGCAGUGUAGGAAACCUCCAUGUAGGUUCGUCAGUGGUGGAUUCUUACCUGUUUUUUUCUGUGGAAUCCAUGUGAUAGUCCCAUGAUUCUAGGGCAAGGAAGACAUGAGCCAGCCUGAAGAAAUAUCAAGCAGAGCCUCAGGAAUAAACCAUGAAAUCCCUAAGUUUCCAAAAAAUCUGCUGGAUUCCUCAGGCCUGCCUAGAAUUUGCAGGGGUGAGUCUUUAUGAAAUUGCCCCAGUGAUUUCUAGGUACAGCCUGAUUGUGUUCCUUGGGUUUGCUCUCUAUUAAAUGGGGCUUCCUGCAGAACCAUGCAGCCUCAGGGGCUGACAGAUUGUGUGUUUCUGUGGGAUGGUUGUGAGUGUUGGAUAUCUCUGUAUGCGUGUGACAUUGUGUGUGUGUUUGUGCCUUUAAGUGGAAUCUGCUUAAAGGAAUGUGGCUAAUGCACGUCAGUGAUUCCUUUUUUUUUUUUUUUUUUUUGAGUCUCCCAACCUUGUGGUGGCCUGUCUGUGUGGCUCAGCUUAGGGUGGCUCUGCUUAGGCUGCAGUUCUCUGUAUUCUUUAUUUUUCUGUGGAUCAUGAAUCCGCAGUGAAUUAAGAGGUGUAUUAUGACAUGCAAGUGUCCAAAUCACCUCUUGCUGAAAAAAAAAAAAAAAGUUACUCUUUUGAAAGAAGAGAAGCACACCACACCAAAAAACACAAAUCUUCCAGUGUUUCAUUGUCCUGUGGCCAAACCAGAGAGAGACACUAGCAGUCCUGUCCUCAGGGCCACUUGAAUUCACCUUGACUUUGGUUCCCAGAUGAGCAGGUCCUUCACGUCAUGAGGGUGCAACCCUUCAUCAUCUUGGGAUUUCAUCCUGGGACAGAGUGUGAGCAGCAGUAAGGUCAGAUAGGGGUGAGGUUAUAAUCUAGUGAGAUUUGGAUAGGUUCCAGCAACUUCACCUGAAAAAAAAAUAUCAAGACUGGUGACACUGAAGAUGCUUCUAACUCCAUGUCUGCAUUCCCUUAAUUUCACAAGCAGUCCACACAAUGGCCUGGGGUUUAGAUGGGAGUACUCUAAGGUGCAGAGAACAUUUGGAGUGCAAAUUGGAGUCAUACUGGCAAACUCUUGAUUUGAGGGAUUUUAUGUCUGGAACCAAAUGUGAAUGGAGUGGAUUGAUGCUGGGUGGGAUGUGGCCUCCAGAAUAGCCUCUUCUUUUCCUGAAUUGCAUGUUCCUUUUCAGGCUAGGGUUUCCUGGGUCUGAUUCUACCACUUCCACACUCAACGUUUCCCAGUUCAUGGGGAACGACCCUCAUGGGAAUCCAUUGCAUGAAUGUUUCUUUCUAAACACUGUUAUGUUUAAAUGAGUGGGCAGCUUUGAUACCUUUAAAACCAUAAAUUCAUGUUACAGGCACUAAAAAGGAAACUCUUGUUUUACCUCUUCUGGCUGCAUGAUUCCUGUAGGAUGAGAAGCACACAGCCAUGUCUGGUUUUUGGCUGAUAAUCUAGCCUCUGUUUCAUUUCAUCUGCAUGGCCUUCUCAUCAUGGAAGAGCUGUUUCAUUGGGCUGUUGCUGGAUGGGACUGCCUAUUCCUUCAGAUUAUUUAGCUGUCAGAAAAUUCAGAGAGCAAAAGGAACUUUGUGUAGGCUGGCUGCCCUCCAGGUUGUGGUUCAUUGUCUUCUUGUGGGAGCUGAGGUUGUUUGCACGUUGCAGGAGGAUUUUCAGUCCUCUGACAGGAAUCAUUGAAUCUUGCAUGACUCAAGCACAAGGCAGCUGAUUCUCUCAGGUGAGCCUUGAUUUAUCUUUGCUUUCAUGGGGAAUCCUCAGGGGCUCUCAACAGCACCACUGGUCACCUUUUUGAGGCUUGCCAUUGCCACAAACGACCUCUGAGACACUGUGUCAACUUCAUCUUCACCCAGGAGAGGCCAGUCCGAGGUUUGAGAACACUGCUCCACCCUGCACUUGGCUUUGUCAUGGUUGCUGCCUUUUCCAGAGAGGGCUUACAAGGCCCAGAAUGAAGGGAGGAAGUGACGUCAAGAGCCCAGCCAUCUUUCAUUGACACCCACCUCUGGGGUCUCAGUUCACCCCUUUGCCCCCGGUGAUCAAGACUGCAUCAAAGACUGGAACAUAACCCCACUAUGGCCACAAUGGAAAGGACCCCUGACCAUCAUUUUGACCACUCUGACUGCCAUGAAUGUAGAAGGAAUCCCAGCCUGGAUCCAUCACCAUAGUGUAAAAACUGCAGUGGCUGAGACCUGGGAGGUGAGAGCAAGCCUUGAAAACCCCUGCAAAAUGACACUGAGAAAGACGACAAUCCCUGCUCCAGUGACAACAGGAAGCUGACUGUUCUACACACUUCUGAAGCAUUAGAAAACUCGUUGUGGGAGUUAUUCUCCUUAAAAUUUGGGCUUGUAUAAUAAAGACUGAUUUUCCCUGCGUGGAGGACUGUUCCCAGUGUAUUCAUCAGGUU